CCUACGGGAGGCAGCAGUGAGGAAUAUUGGUCAAUGGGCGAGAGCCUGAACCAGCCAAGUCGCGUGAGGGAGUACUGCCCUAUGGGUUGUAAACCUCUUUUGUCGGGGAGCAAAAGCCGGACGUGUCCGGCUGUGAGAGUACCCGAAGAAAAAGCAUCGGCUAACUCCGUGCCAGCAGCCGCGGUAAUACGGAGGAUGCGAGCGUUAUCCGGAUUUAUUGGGUUUAAAGGGUGCGCAGGCGGAUUUUUAAGUCAGCGGUAAAAUCGUGGGGCUCAACCCCAUCCAGCCGUUGAAACUGGGGAUCUAGAGUGUGCGAGAGGUAUGCGGAAUGCGUGGUGUAGCGGUGAAAUGCAUAGAUAUCACGCAGAACCCCGAUUGCGAAGGCAGCAUACCGGUGCAUAACUGACGCUCAGGCACGAAAGCGUGGGUAUCGAACAGGAUUAGAUACCCCGGUAGUC
rnacentral:rRNA from 1 species